rnacentral:rRNA from 1 species
GACGAACGCUGGCGGCGUGCUUAACACAUGCAAGUCGAACGGAAAGGCCCUGCUUUUGUGGGGUGCUCGAGUGGCGAACGGGUGAGUAACACGUGAGUAACCUGCUCUUGACUUUGGGAUAACUUCAGGAAACUGGGGCUAAUCCCGGAUAGGAGCUCCUGUUGCAUGGUGGGGGUUGGAAAGUUUCGGCGGUUGGGGAUGGACUCGCGGCUUAUCAGCUUGUUGGUGGGGUAGUGGCUUACCAAGGCUUUGACGGGUAGCCGGCCUGGGAGGGUGACCGGCCACAUUGGGACUGAGAGACGGCCCAGACUCCUACGGGAGGCAGAAGUGGGGAAUAUUGCACAAUGGGCGGAAGCCUGAUGCAGCAACGCCGCGUGCGGGAUGACGGCCUUCGGGUUGUAAACCGCUUUCGCCUGUGACGAAGCGUGAGUGACGGUAAUGGGUAAAGAAGCACCGGCUAACUACGUG